CAAAAUCUCUCUCUCUUUCCCUCCCCCACAAAGAGGCUCCCUUAUCUCUCACUUUACAUACCAGCCCUAGCCCUCCCGCCGCCCAGCUUCCCGCCCAGCAGUUCAAACUGACCAACAGUUGCCCACCACCUCGGCUUUUGGCUUCCCCACCCCCCAGCCCUUCAGCCCCCUAUAAAACAACCCUGCCCCUCUGAGCAGGGCGGCCAUUUUUCCUUUUCGUCCCGGCUGGCCCGCCCGGAGGCUCUUUCCUCUCAAUAAAGCCUGAACUUAAGGAAUUUCCUCUAGCCUGCGGUCCGGUUUCUUUCCCAAUGAGCCCAGUCUUCCCGCAGAGGGUAGGUCGGACAAAUGGUGCCGGAAACCCGGGACGGGAGCUGGGGCCGUUGGCCCGGCCACGGCCCCCCUCCCCGACCUACCCAACACUGGCCCUGCCACCUCCACGUUCCGAUUAAGCCGAAUUCCAGAUGCUGCAAACUCCCCAUCGCUGCACCCGAUGAGCUGCCUUCCUACCCAUUGCCGUUGGAGUCUCCCUUGCUGGUUCAGCACUUGCAGCAGGAUUAGGAGGAGGGGCACUAGUCCACUCUCACCUGGCCAUAGCCCGACUGACCUCACAACUCCAAGCGGCUAUUAAUGACUCUACUGAGUCUUUAGCAUCACUCCAAUGACAGAUCACCUCAGUUGCCCAAGUUGCCUUGCAGAACCGAAGAGCCCUGGACCUGCUCACUGCUGAACGAGGAGGGACCUGUAUCUUCCUACAAGAAGAGUGCUGUUACUACAUCAAUGAAUCCGGCCUAGUAGAAACCCGAAUCGAGAGCCUCCAGAAACUCAAAACUAACCUGUAGAGUCAGAAGUUCUCGGCUGAAGCCACAGCGUGGUGGUCUUCCUCUAUGUAUACCCUCUUGUCACCAUUGCUUGGGCCCCUAAUAGCCGUUUGCCUAAUCUUACUUAUUGCUCCUUGCUUUCUCCAGUUCCUACAGCGGCUCUUUCAAGAACUGACUGGAGUCACCAUCCACCAGAUGCUGCUCCAACCCCACCCUGAACGAGUGCAAGAAACAGACCUCUCCCCAAACCUCCAGGCUCCUUAGGAAAAGAAACCUCUUCAGAACCCCUCGUCGACCCUUGUCAGCAGGAAGUAGCCAGAGAGACAACCGACGCCCCUGACCCCCUCUUUUUCUUUUCUUUAAGGAGUCGGGAAUGUUUGGAAAACUCUGCCCCUACCGCAAAAUCUCUCUCUCUUUCCCUCCCCCACAAAGAGGCUCCCUUAUCUCUCACUUUACAUACCGGCCCUAGCCCUCCCGCCGCCCAGCUUCCCGCCCAGCAGUUCAAACUGACCAACAGUUGCCCACCACCUCGGCUUUUGGCUUCCCCACCCCCCAGCCCUUCAGCCCCCUAUAAAACAACCCUGCCCCUCUGAGCGGCGCGGCCAUUUUUCCUUUUCGUCCCGGCUGGUCCGCCCGGAGGCUCUUUCCUCUCAAUAAAGCCUGAACUUAAGGAA